rnacentral:lncRNA from 1 species
CCCCAAACCGGGUGGCCGGCCAUGAUGGAGGAGGGUUUUGAAUGACUCCUCCAUCGCUGAAGAACACCGCACUCUUCUGUGUGCGGUUCUACAAAGCAUUCGAUUUGUUGACAACGAAUUAAAGGAGGCUUUCGACGGCCCGUUGACAAGCUUCAAGGUAAUUUACACUACUUUUUUACAAAGUAGUUUUAAUUUAUGGGUAU